rnacentral:rRNA from 1 species
AGUUUGAUCCUGGCUCAGGAUGAACGCUAGCUACAGGCUUAACACAUGCAAGUCGAGGGGCAGCAUUUCAGUUUGCUUGCAAACUGGAGAUGGCGACCGGCGCACGGGUGAGUAACACGUAUCCAACCUGCCGAUAACUCGGGGAUAGCCUUUCGAAAGAAAGAUUAAUACCCGAUGGUAUAAUUAGACCGCAUGGUCUUGUUAUUAAAGAAUUUCGGUUAUCGAUGGGGAUGCGUUCCAUUAGGCAGUUGGUGAGGUAACGGCUCACCAAACCUUCGAUGGAUAGGGGUUCUGAGAGGAAGGUCCCCCACAUUGGAACUGAGACACGGUCCAAACUCCUACGGGAGGCAGCAGUGAGGAAUAUUGGUCAAUGGGCGCAGGCCUGAACCAGCCAAGUAGCGUGAAGGAUGACUGCCCUAUGGGUUGUAAACUUCUUUUAUAUGGGAAUAAAGUUUUCCACGUGUGGAAUUUUGUAUGUACCAUAUGAAUAAGGAUCGGCUAACUCCGUGCCAGCAGCCGCGGUAAUACAGAGGAUCCGAGCGUUAUCCGGAUUUAUUGGGUUUAAAGGGAGCGUAGGUGGACAGUUAAGUCAGUUGUGAAAGUUUGCGGCUCAACCGUAAAAUUGCAGUUGAUACUGGCUGUCUUGAGUACAGUAGAGGUGGGCGGAAUUCGUGGUGUAGCGGUGAAAUGCUUAGAUAUCACGAAGAACUCCGAUUGCGAAGGCAGCUCACUGGACUGCAACUGACACUGAUGCUCGAAAGUGUGGGUAUCAAACAGGAUUAGAUACCCUGGUAGUCCACACAGUAAACGAUGAAUACUCGCUGUUUGCGAUAUACAGUAAGCGGCCAAGCGAAAGCAUUAAGUAUUCCACCUGGGGAGUACGCCGGCAACGGUGAAACUCAAAGGAAUUGACGGGGGCCCGCACAAGCGGAGGAACAUGUGGUUUAAUUCGAUGAUACGCGAGGAACCUUACCCGGGCUUAAAUUGCAUUUGAAUAUAUUGGAAACAGUAUAGUCGUAAGACAAAUGUGAAGGUGCUGCAUGGUUGUCGUCAGCUCGUGCCGUGAGGUGUCGGCUUAAGUGCCAUAACGAGCGCAACCCUUAUCUUUAGUUACUAACAGGUCAUGCUGAGGACUCUAGAGAGACUGCCGUCGUAAGAUGUGAGGAAGGUGG